AACGAACGCUGGCGGCAGGCCUAACACAUGCAAGUCGAACGCUCUUUUCGGAGAGAGUGGCGCACGGGUGAGUAACGCGUGGGAAUCUGCCCUUUGGUUCGGAAUAACCCUGGGAAACUAGGGCUAACACCGGAUGAGCCCCGAGUUCCGCGAGGGGAGUUGGGGGAAAGUUUACGCCGAAGGAGGAGCCCCGCGUCCGAUUAGCUAGUUGGUGAGGUAAGAGCUCACCAAGGCUUCGAUCGGUAGCUGGUCNGAGAGGACGAUCAGCCACACUGGGACUGAGACACGACCAGACUCCUACGGAGGCAGCAGUGGGAAUAUUGGACAAUGGGCGCAAGCCUGAUCCAGCCAUGCCGCGUGAGUGAUGAA
rnacentral:rRNA from 1 species